AGCACUGGUGUUGAAAUGGCUGGAUCAGUAACCUAAUUCCCUGUCCUGGUCAUGUCUGUUACAGUGCCGUGAGCUGGCCUGCUUGGAAGUUGAGUUUGACAGUAGGGUGAAAAAAAAACAAUUGGCAGGGGUUAGCCGCUCAGCAGCUGGCUCACGCCUGACCCCGGUCAAGAACCAGAAUCUAGGAGUUCCUCUGCCCACCUCCCUUGAGGGGCUGCAUCUGUGUGCUUGUGUGCCAUGCAGAGAAAGGAGGAGCAGAAGCAUCCCCCUGACUUUACCUCUGAAGUUGCUCCCUUCUGAGCAGGAAGCAGUCAGCAAGGUAAUCAUCUGCCAACCGUUGAAAAUCCUUUGCAAACUUUCAAAAAUUCCUACUGGUUCCAAAGAUGCAGACAUUAAAGUCCCUCUGUCUUCAUGCAGAACUGAUUGUUUUCUAAGCUCCCUUGCAUCUAGUGUGACACAUAAUAAAGUAAAUUGAUUGGAGCAAAAUAAAUGGAAAAUUCAUGGGAGAAGGAGAAAGAAGAAAAUGUCUGAGCUGCUGCUCGUUCUCCUUAUAUGGUCAUGUCCUUUACCAAGCUGGAAGUCGCUGGAUGCUACUAGGGCAAAAGGGUGAGGCUUAGUCCCCUAGGAGGCA
rnacentral:lncRNA from 1 species